rnacentral:tRNA from 1 species
GCUGUGAUGGCCGGGUGGUUAAGGCGUUGGGCUAGAAAUCCGAUGGGAUCUUCCUGCGUAGGUUCAAAUCCUACUCACAGCG